rnacentral:rRNA from 1 species
UACAGAGGUCUCAAGCGUUGUUCGGAUUCAUUGGGCGUAAAGGGUGCGUAGGUGGCGCCAUAAGUCAGGUGUGAAAUCUCGGGGCUUAACUCCGAAACUGCAUUUGAUACUGCCUUGCUUGAGGACUGGAGAGGAGACUGGAAUUCACGGUGUAGCAGUGAAAUGCGUAGAGAUCGUGAGGAAGACCAGUGGCGAAGGCGGGUCUCUGGACAGUUCCUGACACUGAGGCACGAAGGCCAGGGGAGCAAACGGG